rnacentral:rRNA from 1 species
AUUGAACGCUGGCGGCAGGCCUAACACAUGCAAGUCGAGCGAGCGGCGGACGGGUGGGUAAUGUCUGGGAAACUGCCUGAUGGAGGGGGAUAACUACUGGAAACGGUAGCUAAUACCGCAUACCAUCAGAUGUGCCCAGAUGGGAUUAGCUAGGAGGUGGGGUAACGGCUCACCUAGGCGACGAUCCCUAGCUGGUCGGAGAGGAUGACAAGCGACACUGGAACUGGGACACGGUCCAGAAUCCUACGGGAGGCAGCAGUGGGGAAUAUUGCACAAUGGGCGCAAGUCUUAUGCAGCCAUGCCGCGUGUAUUAAGAAGGCCUUCGGGUUGGAAAGUACUUUCAGCGGGGAGGCGGUACCCGCAGAAGAAGCACCGGCUAACUCCGUGCCAGCCGCCGCGGUAAUAC